UUCGAGUUGACCCCGGCAGUCUCCUACGAGUCCCCGGCAUUACCCGCUGGCAACAUAGGAUAAGGGUUGCGCUCGUUGCGGGACUUAACCCAACACCUCACGGCACGAGCUGACGACAGCCAUGCACCACCUGUGCAGGACCCCGAAGGACACCGUAUCUCUACGGCUUUUCCCUGCAUGUCAAACCCAGGUAAGGUUCUUCGCGUUGCCUCGAAUUAAGCAACAUGCUCCGCCGCUUGUGCGGGCCCCCGUCAAUUCCUUUGAGUUUCAGUCUUGCGACCGUACUCCCCAGGCGGGAUGCUUAACGCGUUAGCUGCGGCACCCGGAGACUAAAAAACUCCAGACACCAAGCAUCCAUCGUUUAAGGCCAGGACUA
rnacentral:misc_RNA from 1 species